CCUACGGGUGGCAGCAGUGAGGAAUAUUGGUCAAUGGGCGGGAGCCUGAACCAGCCAAGUCGCGUGAGGGAAGACGGUCCUAUGGAUUGUAAACCUCUUUAGGCGGGGAGCAAUGCCGGGCACGCGUGCCCGGAGGGAGAGUACCCGCAGAAUAAGCAUCGGCUAACUCCGUGCCAGCAGCCGCGGUAAUACGGAGGAUGCGAGCGUUAUCCGGAUUUAUUGGGUUUAAAGGGUGCGUAGGCGGAUUUUUAAGUCAGCGGUAAAAUGUCCGGGCUCAACCCGGGCCGGCCGUUGAAACUGGGGAUCUUGAGUGGGCGAGAAGUAAGCGGAAUGCGUGGUGGAGAGGUGAAAUGCAUAGAUAUCACGCAGAACUCUGAGGGGGAAGGCAGCAUACCGGAGUCCGACUGACGCUGAGGCACGAAGGCGUGGGGAGCGAACAGGAUUAGAUACCCUUGUAGUC
rnacentral:rRNA from 1 species